CGAGUGGCGGACGGGUGAGUAACGCGUGGGUAACCUGCCUUACACAGGGGGAUAACACCUGGAAACAGGUGCUAAUACCGCAUAAGCGCACAGGGCCGCAUGGCCCGGUGUGAAAAACUCCGGUGGUGUAAGAUGGACCCGCGUCUGAUUAGCUUGUUGGCGGGGUAGGGGCCCACCAAGGCGACGAUCAGUAGCCGGCCUGAGAGGGUGGACGGCCACAUUGGGACUGAGACACGGCCCAAACUCCUACGGGAGGCAGCAG
rnacentral:rRNA from 1 species